AACGAACGCUGGCGGCACGCCUAACACAUGCAAGUCGAACGAAGCAUAAGAGCUUGCUCUUAUAACUGAGUGGCGCACGGGUGAGUAACACGUGGGAAUCUGCCUAUUGGUGGGGAAUAACUUUUGGAAACGAAAGCUAAUACCGCAUAAGCCCUAAGGGGGAAAGAUUUAUCGCGAAUAGAUGAGCCCGCGAUAGAUUAGCUAGUUGGUGAGGUAAGAGCUCACCAAGGCUACGAUCUAUAGCUGGUCUGAGGGGAUGGUCAGCCACACUGGGACUGAGACACGGCACAGACUCCUACGGGGGGCAGCAGUGGGGAAUAUUGGACAAUGGGGGAAACCCUGAUCCAGCGAUGCCGCGUGAGUGAAGAAGGCCUUCGGGUUGUAAAGCUCUUUCAGAGGGGAUGAUAAUGACGGUACCCUCAGAAGAAGCACCGGCUAACUUCGUGCCAGCCGCCGCCGUAA
rnacentral:rRNA from 1 species